GGUCAAUUGACUAUUUUGGUCAUACUGACUUAUUUUUAGUUCUUACUUUGCUGUACAUUAUUGCAGUUUAUCUCUAUCUAUAAUAAUAUUCAAGAUAAUAACAAAAAAACAGCAAAAUUUCCUCAAAAUUACCAAUUCAGGGGCAGCAACCUAACAACCGAUUAUCCGAUUCAUCUGAAAAUUCCAGGGCAGAUAGAUCGUGACCUGAUCAACAAUUUUACUUCCUGUCAGAUUUGCUCUUAAUGCUUUGGUUUUUGAGUUAUAAGCCAAAAACUGCAUUUAACCCCCAUGUUCUAUUUUUAGCCAUGGCGGCCAUCUUGGUUUGUUGGCCGAGUUACCGGACACACUUUUUUAACUAGAUACCCCAAUAAUGAUUAUGGCUAAGUUUGGUUAAAUUUGGCCCAGUAGUUUCAGAGGAGAAGAUUUUUCUAAAAGAUUACUAAGAUUUAUGAAAAAUGGUUAAAAAUUGACUAUAAAGGGCAA
rnacentral:lncRNA from 1 species